AUACACUGGCAUGGAGCAACUCCAGGUCAAGAUCCUUGAGGGCCCCCAUUAUCCUAGCAGCUGGGUGGUUGUUUUUACUGGACUGGACUCGAAUCAUUGCCUCCCAACCGAUGAUCUUCACAUCUAUGUCCAUAUCCAGACUCUUGCUUCCUUGGUGGCUUGCCAACUUGAGAUCUUUAUCCGGCGGGGGAGGUGCGAAAUUUCUAGCCUCUUUGCUGGUUAAUUCCUUCUUCAAGGAGUCUAUCUGGUUCCUCAAUUCCUCUUUAUCAGACUCCAUAUUAUGAAGCUUCGAUUUCAACUCAUUAAUAUAAGAAAUAGCAUCCCCAAGAAGGGAGGCUUUGUCCAUUUUUGACACAUUAGGAACCACAGCUCGAAGUGCAUAAAACCUCUGGUUCAACUUCUCCCUCCUCUGCCUCUCUGCCUC
rnacentral:lncRNA from 1 species